GACGAAGGAUGCAAGCGUUAUCCGGAUUCAUUGGGUUUAAAGGGAGCGUAGGUGGACUUGUAAGUCAGUGGUGAAAUCUCUCAGCUUAACUGAGAAACUGCCAUUGAUACUGCAGGUCUUGAGUACAGAUGAUGUGGGCGGAAUAUGACAUGUAGUGGUGAAAUACUUAGAUAUGUCAUAGAACACCGAUUGCGAAGGCAGCUCACAAAACUGUAACUGACACUGAGGCUCGAAAGUGCGGGGAUCAAACAGG
rnacentral:rRNA from 2 species